rnacentral:rRNA from 1 species
UGAUCCUGGCUCAGGAUGAACGCUGGCGGCGUGCCUAAUACAUGCAAGUCGAGCGAACAGAUAAGGAGCUUGCUCCUUUGACGUUAGCGGCGGACGGGUGAGUAACACGUGGGUAACCUACCUAUAAGACUGGAAUAACUCCGGGAAACCGGGGCUAAUGCCGGAUAACAUGUUGAACCGCAUGGUUCUACAGUGAAAGACGGUCUUGCUGUCACUUAUAGAUGGACCCGCGCCGUAUUAGCUAGUUGGUGGGGUAACGGCCUACCAAGGCGACGAUACGUAGCCGACCUGAGAGGGUGAUCGGCCACACUGGAACUGAGACACGGUCCAGACUCCUACGGGAGGCAGCAGUAGGGAAUCUUCCGCAAUGGGCGAAAGCCUGACGGAGCAACGCCGCGUGAGUGAUGAAGGUCUUCGGAUCGUAAAGCUCUGUUGUUAGGGAAGAACAAAUGUGUAAGUAACUGUGCACAUCUUGACGGUACCUAACCAGAAAGCCACGGCUAACUACGUGCCAGCAGCCGCGGUAAUACGUAGGUGGCAAGCGUUAUCCGGAAUUAUUGGGCGUAAAGCGCGCGUAGGCGGUUUUUUAAGUCUGAUGUGAAAGCCCACGGCUCAACCGUGGAGGGUCAUUGGAAACUGGAAAACUUGAGUGCAGAAGAGGAAAGUGGAAUUCCAUGUGUAGCGGUGAAAUGCGCAGAGAUAUGGAGGAACACCAGUGGCGAAGGCGGCUUUCUGGUCUGCAACUGACGCUGAUGUGCGAAAGCGUGGGGAUCAAACAGGAUUAGAUACCCUGGUAGUCCACGCCGUAAACGAUGAGUGCUAAGUGUUAGGGGGUUUCCGCCCCUUAGUGCUGCAGCUAACGCAUUAAGCACUCCGCCUGGGGAGUACGGUCGCAAGACUGAAACUCAAAGGAAUUGACGGGGACCCGCACAAGCGGUGGAGCAUGUGGUUUAAUUCGAAGCAACGCGAAGAACCUUACCAAAUCUUGACAUCCUUUGACCGCUCUAGAGAUAGAGUUUUCCUCUUCGGAGGACAAAGUGACAGGUGGUGCAUGGUUGUCGUCAGCUCGUGUCGUGAGAUGUUGGGUUAAGUCCCGCAACGAGCGCAACCCUUGAACUUAGUUGCCAUCAUUCAGUUGGGCACUCUAAGUUGACUGCCGGUGACAAACCGGAGGAAGGUGGGGAUGACGUCAAAUCAUCAUGCCCCUUAUGAUUUGGGCUACACACGUGCUACAAUGGACA